rnacentral:rRNA from 1 species
UAGCGGAGGAAAAGAAACCAACAGGGAUUGCCCCAGUAGCGGCGAGUGAAGCGGCAAGAGCUCAGAUUUGAAAUCGUGUUUCGGCACGAGUUGUAGAGUGUAGGCGGGAGUCUCUGUGGAGCGCGGUGUCCAAGUCCCUUGGAACAGGGUGCCUGAGAGGGUGAGAGCCCCGUAGGGUGCUGCGCGAAGCUUUUGAGGCCCUGCUGACGAGUCGAGUUGUUUGGGAAUGCAGCUCCAAGCGGGUGGUAAAUUCCAUCUAAGGCUAAAUAUUGGCGAGAGACCGAUAGCGAACAAGUACUGUGAAGGAAAGAUGAAAAGCACUUUGAAAAGAGAGUGAAACAGCACGUGAAAUUGUUGAAAGGGAAGGGUAUUGGGCUCGACAUGGGGGGUGCGCACCGCUGUCUCUUGUAGGCGGCGCUCUGGGCGCCCUCUGGGCCAGCAUCGGUUCCUGCUGCGGGAGAAGGGGCUCCGGAAAGUGGCUCUUCGGAGUGUUAUAGCCGGGGCCAGAUGCCGCGUGUGGGGACCGAGGACUGCGGC